AAUCCAUGUUAUGGACACUUUUGCAAGAGAUCCUUGAAUCAUUCCCAUGUCUUAAAUAAUAAUUCUAUCUCCAUCUGAACAUAUGAAGAGAUCUCAUUUUGAAGCUU